GCCGCAUUUCCGCUGACGCUGAGCGAACGGUGAGAACUUCGAGAGAGCGAGACUUGGUUCUAGGUGGUUAGACACCUUCGCUCCUUGUAACCAGUGGCCCAGUCCCCGUCAGCCCUGGCCCGGAGGGAGUCACUGAGGACCCCCGGCAGCCUCCAGGGCCGCUGUUACCGGAUCAGAAACCGAGGCCGGGAGCCCCUGCUGCCCCCGCGGCUUCCCCGGAGACAGAUGGAAACUGCCCAAGCCGAUGUCUCCUUCUCCCCUGCUGGACCCUCGUCCUCACUCCUUGAUGGGUGUUCACUGUCCGGAGGUUGAGGAUGGCGCGUGAGAUGCUGCCAUGGGCCUGGAGAUUGCCAGUGGAAGUCCCAAGGGGAUGGAGGCACUGACCCUCUCAGGAUGGUGACCUGUGGUCUCAGCACCUCUAGAGGCUUCCUCGCGGUUAUUGGGGACCAACCACGGACUGGCUUAGCAAAGAGUGAGGAGUGAUGUUGCCACGUGAUGCAUGGCCAGACCUCCUUUCCCCUGUUGCCUCAGACCAGCUGGGAACGACUUCAGUCUGCGUGAGCGAAGCCUUGUGACUCUAGUGACUUGGGGUCCAGCAUUGGAGACCCUUCAGUUGGUUCUGCCCUACCCCAGGAGGGCCACAGGACCAUGGACCAGGAAGACUUGGUCUAGGCCAGGUCAUCCAGUGGCCAGCUCCAGACCCUCUUGUUCAUUGCUUGUAUAACUUUUCAGAACCAAGAGUUCUAAUUAAAGCUUUCUACACUGUACACCAUUGUCCUUUUACCCACCUCAAUAAAUCUCGAAAUAUGCUUCUA